ACAUAUUCAGGAAUUGCUCCUGUAUCAUCAAAUCCUGCAUUCCUCCAAAGUUAGUUACAGCCUGUCCGUUGAGCCAUUUAUCAAAUAGAUCUGUCAUCUGGUUUACAUAAGCCACAUUACUUAGUCCAGGUCCUCUCUUAAGGAUUCUACAUUUUACUCUGUAAGUUUCUGGUGUAACUUGAAAUUGUUUUAAAAUCAAAUCCUUGAAUUUAUUAUAGUGAGAAGCCUCACCAAUAGGCAUCUUAUUGAAUAUGUCCAGAGCUCUUCCAGUCAAUUUUGCGACCAAUGUGGUCAUCUUGUGAGCUUCAGGAAUUUGAUGGCGUGUGCACAGUCUCUCAAAGGUGAGAAAAUAUUCAGCAAUAUCACUGGAUUCAUCAUACUAUGGACAUAUUCGCUCCCAUUUGUGGAUCCGUUAGGGAAGGAUUGUUAGGGUUAUUCGGUAUAUUCUGCUGAGCCUUUUCCUUCUCCAUCUCCAGAGCAUGCUUCCUCUCUUUUUCCUUCUCCUCCAUUUCUUUACGCUUUGCCUCCUCAGCAUGCUUUCUCUCUUUUUCCUUUGCCUCCAUUUCUCUCCUGUAGGCCGCCUCCCUUGCUUUUUCUUUGGCUGCCAUUUCUUUUUCUUUUGCCUCCGUUUCCAUCUGCCCGAGUUCUACUUGUCUUUCAUGUUUUGUUUUUCCUCAGCCUCAAAUCUGGCUAAUUCCAGCUUCUGUUGAACAGUGCAGUCUGUCGUCCUAACCUCUCUGUUUUUAACUAACUUUACAUCCAAGAGUUAGAAAAAAAAAAACGGCUUGUAAAAUUUUGCUGUGCUGUAACCUAGUACCUUUGUCUCUGACAGCUGUUCUCAGCCUACAGAAAAAUCCUUUUGUUAUGCCUGCUGCUCUGUCCCCGAGGUAGAGAGACAGAAUCUACAACUGCAAUCACCUUUUACAAAACCUUUUAAAAUCCUGCUGUGCUUCUGGUUCAAAAUGAUCUCUGGUUCAAAAUAUCCCGCCACUCUGCCACCAAGUCAAGAUUCAUUCCCCACUCCAGAUUUGAAAGUAUCUUGUCCCCUCAUUGGUCAUUUUGGGUCAGGUGCCAGCGAGGUUAUCUUAGCUUUUUAACGCUUUAUGGGUGAAAGGGUUUUGCCUCUGCCAGGAGGGAUUUUAUAGCACUGUAUACAGAAAGGUGGUUACCCUUCCCUUUAUUUUUAUGACAUAUGGUCACUCUAUCUGUAGCAGGAUUUCAUUACUAUUUUUUCUCCACUACAGGCUUCCUACUUGACCUGAGUGGCAGAGGAGGUCCUUUACCUACCUUCUCUACAUCUGCAGACUGACUGUGGGAAGGCAGAAGGGCAACCCUGACCCUCCCCACUGACUGUAUUCCAGAUUGUAGUCGAAAUAAGUGUCUGCAGUGAACAGGAUUUAUGCUGCAUUUGUAAGUCUGUGUUGUGGAGAUGACUUGGAGCUGGGGGGGAUAGUCAUGCUCCCCCUCCUCCCCCCGAUUUUUGGCUCACAUCACUAAAGGCAGAUCAAAUUAGAGUGGAUUUAGUAUAGAACAUUUCUUGAUACAUGCUUGUUUCAUGAAUAUUUUACUCUGGCUUUUGUACAUUGUAUUGAAUGCAAGUUGAGUCAGAAUUUGACUUCUGUAAUAGGUUUGUUCUCCUUGGACCUUUUUGAGGUGUAACCUUGCCUCAGAGUUCCCUCUUGCAGUGCCCUUGGGGUAAUUGAGUAGCACAUAAGUAGUGCUCCAAAUCAAAAUAUCCCAUUUAAGUAUUUGGUGUAUUAUACUAAAAUACAGUCAACACUUUGUCCAUGCAUCCAGGCUCUGCAAGUCCUUCCCGGACCUUCAUCAGGGUUUUACAGUUUUUCCCUAGCAAGGUCUGCCACUAGUCUUUCUUUUGGGGUCACUGCCCCAGCUCCUUGUGCAUAGGGAGUUCUGUGUCUCACUUCAGACACUUGGCUGCUGCUUUUCCCAGACAGCUGUUUUCUGCCAGUUUUUAUGCAGUGACCUCCAACAGCUCUUUAAUGUAUCCUACGGGCGGUUAAAGAUAAGCAGGCAAUUAACUGCCACUGGACAUAUCCUUAAUCAUCAGGUUUUGUUGAUCGGGCAUAUCAUUUAAUUCAAAGUGGAUCAAGUAUCCAUAUCAACAUUGCUUUGAAAGAGAAACAGGAUGAAACAACACAAGACAUCUUUAUUUUUAUAUCAAAGGUAAACCACCAUAAGAAGGAAUUGCUUUGAAUAGGAAAUUCAGUUCCACAGAAUCACAUAGGCAAGCACACUAAGAGGUCUGUGCAAUACAGACUAACAUUGAUCACACAAUCACAGAGAUGGAAGGGUAAUCAAUAUUAAAAGAAAAUCUACAGUUUAUAACUACAGCCAAACUAUAAUCAACCAAGUAAAUAUUCUUCUGCAUUUAAGCAGCUCAGAAAUAUGCUUUUAAAGGGAGGAGUAAGAACUAUCCUACGCUGGCAUUCCUCCAAUCUUUGUACAUGUUUCACCUAAGGGGAAAUUUCGUAUUGAGUUGGUGAGUAUAUCAUGUAAAAAGGGGAAAAUCCUUCUGCAAAAAAGCAAACCCUUUAAGGAUAUCACUAAUUCCAACACUACAAUAAAUGUCACUGUAUGGCAGAUCAUAUAUGUUUCACUAGUAAUUGCCCCUAGAAAACAAUAGCAUUUAAAGAAAAAUAGAAAAACCUUAUUUCUCACAUCACUACUUAUUUGUCAGUCCUGCAUUGAGAGAACUGCCUAUCUGCUUGCACAUCCUGGAGGUGGUUGAAGCUGUUGCUGAUUGGCAUUCUUUUAAAGACUAUAUAUCUCUUGGAAUCUUGACAGAAAGCUUUACUUCCACUGUGGUCAGAUGGUAGAUGAAAAACCUGUCAAUCUAAUGUUGUAGAGGAGAAUGGGAAUUGCUCAUAUUUAUUUAUUUACUUACAUAUUUUUCAAGAAUCCUCUUGUUUGUAGCUUUGCUCAUUGUUUCUUGUCUUAAAUUAGUUUGCAAACUUCCUGGAGAAGUGGGUUUCCAGUGUAUUUGUACAGAAUCGAGCAAAAUUUGCUACUGAUACUGAUGAGGGCCCCAGGAUACUAUCAUAAUACAAAUAAUAGUUCUGACUGAAACAAACCUCAUGCUGAUGUGUCCCAUCCAAUACUCCUGAGAUUGGAGUACUAAAACCAAUGCUGCCAUUAUAUAUUAUUCCUGUUGGAACUUUCAUCUGCACUGUGAGUAUUCAGAAAAGUUCUGAUAGCCAUGCAAAUUCGGGGUCUGCACGCUAGUGAAUUUCUGGAUGAUAUCCUAAUUAGGUCAAAGUCAUUUCAUUCAGCACAAGAAGCAACACUGAAAGUAUUCAAUAGUUCAGUAUGGAUUCAUAGUAGACAAAAAUAAUUAAUUGAUAUGUUCAACAGAUACUAUCAACAGCGGUGAUCUCACCAGGGAUGGUGCAGAAGAUUCACUGGCUAAUUUGUUAUAUAAUGGAUGGCAAAAAGCACAAAAUUAGCUGGCCUAGUCUUCUCAUCACACUAUUACAAGUAUUCCUGCUCCUGUGAAAACCACCAGCAGUGGAGAGGAUGAAGAAUAAGUAUUACCAGAAAUAGUAAGAUUAUUAUUUCAGUAAAGACAGGAGAAUAGUAAUUUCCACACGUGGCAAAAAACUUCAAAAAUUACCAUAUGUCUAAGACCUGGAGGACUAAACCAGCUAGCCAAAACUAGUGAACGAUGAGGGAAUGGCUACAUCAACAAGAUCUAGGGACAACGCCUUGGUGGGUAGCCCCUACACCUUACCAUCUUGACUCUUCUGGGAAGAUUGCCUCUGAGUACAAAAUAUCUUAGGAAUUUGAAGUUCUAUUUGUCUCCAGCUGGAAGGAAGAAGCUGUUUCUUCUUUCCAUCUUGUGGCUGCUAUGAUGGUAUACACUGCACAUCCGUGCACUUCUCUCGUUACCUACCUGCCUGCUGCUUUACAAAGGAGAUUUAAAAAGUCUCUGAUCCUCUACUUUACUUUUCCUUGGGAACUGUGUUUAGAUCUUCACUUUUGAAUAACGGCAGUGACUUAUUGCUGUUUCCCAUCAUAAAUUUCUCCAGAAGUAGCCUUAUCAAUCAGUCAAAUCAAUAUCAUUGAUAGUUUGUGCUUUGUCGUAUGGUUUUGAAUAACAGUAGUAAAAAGAUGAAGUUCAUGUUAAGUUUAAUUCUGCUCCUGUAUGUAGCAUCAUUUUCUGUAGACUCAGGAAGACAGUAUAUUGCUUUAUAUUUGGUUCUUCGGUUCAUUCUUGGAAGGUUGUCUUUUCACCCAAGAGGUGAAAACUUGCUUUAAUUUUAAUACAAUUUUAGGUCAAUAAUUUACACAGAAUUAAGCACCAAAUUUAUCAGUGAAAGUUUUCCACCCAUUGCUGCUAAGUGCGGGAGAGGAUUUUUUUUCAAGCCCUAUGACAAAGUAUUGUGAAAUCAUAUGCAAGCCUGUUCAAAUUAGAGAUGGGUGAAACAUAUUGACCAAAACUUUUCAGCAAAAAAUAAAGAUUUUGUAACUCUGAAACCUUUAAUGAAUUCAUGUUGUUUUUGCCAAAUUAUUCAUUUUGAAAAGAAUCUAAAAACUUUGAAACUAAAUAUUUUGAUUUUUUUGUUCAAACUGACUUAAUUUUAUUAAAUUCAAAUAUUUAAAAACGCUCAUUUGAAACAAAACAUUUUGUUUUCAAGUUGAAUGAAACAGUUCAUGUCACCUAAAAUUGAUUAUUUUUUUGUAGCUUUUCAAUAUUGCCGACAACAAUCCAUUAUUUGCUCAGCUCUAGUUCAGAUGGGAUGCACACACAGGGCAGAUUAAACCAGGAAACAUGAUCCUGAGCAGAAAGUUACAAUUUCCUAGAAGAACCAAGAGCAAUUGCUAUUAGCAGAACCUUUUAGCCAAGGACAAUACUUGUUAAUUGUCAAAUGACACAACAGUGGUCACUUGUAUAAAUAAUUGGAUACAAGGAAUAGGUCACUGAAUCUGAAAGGGUAGAGUCUGAGGGCAGUGCAGUACUGCUAUCAAUAAAAGCAGUAUGAGGAACUCAACAUAAUGGCAGAUGUGUUGAACAGGCAUUUGCAUUCAGAUUUUCAAAUGAAUACAAAGUAGGCUAGUUAAAUUGAAAGUCUGUGCAGAUCAGGAAAACUACAUUGAAAGGAAAGGUUCCUUAUGUCUCAGGUUUUUUUAUAUUGCUUCUAGAAUCUGUUUUUAAGAAAAACACAAUUUGGUUCAGGUAGACAACCUCUCUCAAAUUAUUAUUCUAGCCGUUAUUUUAGCACAUUAAAUCAGUGAAAUAGUGUGACAGAUACUACAGCAUCAGACAUCUUUCUCCAGUUUUAACAUUCAGUUAAGAUUAAAAUGCUUUGAUUUUUUGGUAGUUAGGGAUCUUUUUAAAGGCUGAAGAAUGUAAUUUUUAAAAGGAAUCAAGAGUAUUCAAAUGCUACUUUGAAUUCUACUGAAAAACCGUCCAUGUGCUGUAGGGCAGUCAGUUAUCCAGCUACCCCAUACAUUAACAGAUUCUCGAGAGAGAACUGCAGAUUAGGAAGUGGCCCUCUUAGAUCUAUAUAUUCUUGUAUUUGCAAGAAGGUCUAUAUAGAGUAAGAGUUAAAAAGCAAGGAACCUUUGAAUGCAUUCAGGAAACAUUUGCAGUUUUUAAGGUAAAUGGUGGCGUGGUAGAAAGAUGGCCACAUUCUGAUCUUGGUUACUCCAAAUUUUCACUGACGUAACUCGAUUAACUCAAGUUUAUAUAGUGUAAAUGAGCUCUGGUGUUGGGGAGAAAAACCAAGAUCCUUCCCCCGCAUCUCUUAUGCUUACAUAACUUUUAUUUAAAUGCCUAAUCAUGAGAUUUUUAAAACAAAAUCCACAUGGACUUCAACAUGUAGAUACACCAAAUUUUAAUUUUACUCUCUUCCUGACAACUCCAGCAAACUCAAAAUCAGAAUCCUCAUAGUUCUGUCUUCAGCUGUGCCUGACAAACACUGCAGAAGGUUCUAAGAAACUUACUGACUAUAUCAGUACUUUCCAUAUUUACUUGACUGACACUGGUGUGUGUGUGU